AUUCUGGUACCAGAGGCCCUGGGUCUGGGCAACUGGGUAAAAGCUCAAGAGUGGGCUGCAACUCCAGGUGGCCAAGCUACUUAUCUGGGCCAACCAGUUCCAUGGGGAACCCUCCCUAUCAUUCUGGCCAUUGAAUUCGUUGCCAUUGCCUUUGUUGAGCACCAACGAAGCAUGGAGAAAGACACAGAGAAGAAGAAGUACCCUGGUGGUGCUUUUGAUCCUCUAGGAUACUCCAAGGACCCUCAGAAGUUCGAGGAAUACAAAGUCAAGGAAAUUAAGAAUGGUAAUCUCACAAUCUUGGCAUAUGGUUCUGUACGUACUUGUAUUAUUAGUAUUAAUCCAAUAUGCAUUUGAUGUUGCAGGCCGUCUAGCACUGUUGGCAUUUGUUGGGAUCUGUGUGCAACAAACAGCUUAUCCUGGUACUGGACCAUUGGAGAACUUGGCAACUCACCUGGCUGACCCAUGGCACAACAACAUCGGGGACGUUCUCAUCCCUAGAUCGGUCUCGCCUUGAAAAAUCAAAUAUUGUAUUGCUUAUCUACUGUAACCAUCUGCAAUGAAACAGGAUUUCAUUAUC
rnacentral:lncRNA from 1 species